rnacentral:rRNA from 1 species
GAAGAGCUCAAAUUUGAAAGCUGGUACCUUCGGUAUCCGCGUUGUAACCUCGAGACACGUUUUCCGUGCGGCGCUAUGGACAAGUUCCUUGGAACAGGACAUCGUAGAGGGUGAAAAUCCCGUACUUGCCAUGGAUGUACCGUGCUUUGCGAUACGUGCUCUAAGAGUCGAGUUGUUUGGGAUUGCAGCUCAAAAUGGGUGGUAGACUCCAUCUAAAGCUAAAUAUCGGGGAGAGACCGAUAGCGAACAAGUACCGUGAGGGAAAGAUGAAAAGCACUUUGGAAAGAGAGUUAAAAGUACGUGAAAUUGUCGAAAGGGAAGCGCUUGAAGUCAGCCAUGCCGCUCAGGACUCAGCCUGGCUUUUGCUUGGUGUAUUUCCUGGGUAGCAAGUCAGCAUUGGUUUGGAUCGUCGGAGAAGCAUAGUCGGAAUGUGGCGCCCUCGGGCGUGUUAUAGCCUUCUAUUGGAUACGACGAUCUAGACCAAGGAACGCAG